rnacentral:rRNA from 1 species
UACAGAGGUCCCGAGCGUUGUUCGGAUUUACUGGGCGUAAAGGGCGCGUAGGCGGCAUGACAAGUCACUUGUGAAAUCUCCGGGCUUAACUCGGAACGGUCAAGUGAUACUGUCGCGCUAGAGUGCGGAAGGGGCAAUCAGAAUUCUUGGUGUAGCGGUGAAAUGCGUAGAUAUCAAGAGGAAUACCUGAGGUGAAGACGGGUUGCUAGGCCGACACUGACGCUGAAGCGCGAAAGCCAGGGGAGCAAACGGG